rnacentral:lncRNA from 1 species
AACUUUUAUAACAUGGAUUUUAGUCUUUUAUGUUAAUCUUUUGUUUCUCAUACUAUUAUAUUUUUAACUUAUGAUUCUUUGUAUCUUUAUUUUAAAUUAUUUAUUUUAUCUAUAAUUUUAGUGCCCAAUCAUUUGUCUUUAUUGAGACUUAAUCAUCAUGUUUAGAUAUUUUUCCUUUUCAUUUAUUCCUGCAUCUCAGAUUUUUGUAGUAAUCUCCUCAUAAUACUUUACAGUAACAAGUAGGAACACUUCCAUGAAGAGAGCCCUCACUCAAAACGGCUGAACAAAAUAAAGGGUUUGGGGGGUGGAAUAUAUUAACUCACAUUACUGAAAAUGACAACUUGUAGGCUUGGUUUUAGACGUGGCUAAAUUAAAAGUUUUGAAAACUCAUCACAAUCCCGUUCUCUCCAUGCUUCCUCUGUAAUGCUGCAUUCUAGAGAGGCUCACCAGCACUACCUACAGGGCGGCGGAGUUCCAACCUACUACAUCCUUUCUCAUUCAAGUUCCUCAAAAGAGAGAGGCACUUCUCCUUCUGGGUCAGUCCUACCUAAGAAACAAGGAUUCACCUGAAGCCAGAAGCAACCAAUGUGACCAGGUGUGCGGAGAAACACGGCUUCUGCUGGAGAUGGAAAAAGGACUCUGGGGAAGACAAGAUGCCUCGUGUCAAAGCAACAAGGUUCCAGUGAAGAGCUGCAAGCCUCAGAGGCAGGUAGGCAGAGCCAUUUCUUGGUCCGAACAUCUUUCUUCUUCGGUCCCCAGCAAAUUAUCACAGUGAACUGUCAGCAUUUUCCCCACAUCCUCCAGAAGCAGCCUCUGGAUCCUAAACACAAUUCUUCCUUUGAUUGUUUUGAUGACAGUGCAACAGCAAAAUGCUGUGGCAAUCAAAACUGCCUGAAAACAGCAGAUUAGCCGUUCCAAGUUUUAAUUGAGUUAAUCAAAGAACUGUCAGCACAGAUGCUGUCCAUGGUUCUCCUAGAGAUGAGAUCUUGAUGCUGUGUCCUUGAGACUUCUCAUUUAGAGGGCCUCUUCCACACAGAACUGUGGGAUAUUCACAGGAGUAACUUCUACAUGUAGUGAGGUCGAGGAUGAGGAUAGCAAUGAAGAUGCGCCAGACACUUAAAAACACUAUCUCAUUUAAUUUUCCAAAGAGUCCAGCCAGACACAUACCAAUGUCCCCAUUUUGCAAACGAAAUUGAGGCUCAGAGAAGUUUUAUGGUCACUCAGCUAGGAAAAGCUAGAAUUAGAGUUGGGGCGUAUGUCUAAUCUUCUUAGUCUUCACAAUCUUUGCCUUUGUUCACCCCUCCUCAUUGUUUCCUCCCAUGUGCAAUGUGCCUAAUACUCUUCUCAAGAGCAAACAUGCUUGGUUCGCAGCUUGGGCCUUGGCCUUUCUUUUCUGAGCUUGAAUCAUAG